rnacentral:tRNA from 1 species
AGAGGCUUAGGAUAACAUAAGACCAAGGACCUUCAAAGCCCUAAGCAGGAGUGAAAAUCUCCUAGCCCCUG